UUGGAGAAUGUGAGGUUCUAUAAGGAAGAAGAAAAGAAUGACCCUGAAUUCGCAAAGAAGCUCGCUGCCCUUGCUGAUCUCUAUGUCAACGAUGCUUUCGGAACUGCUCAUAGAGCUCAUGCCUCCACCGAGGGAGUUGCCAAAUACUUGAAGCCUUCUGUCGCCGGUUUCCUCAUGCAGAAGGAGCUUGAUUACCUUGUCAGAGCUGUAGCAAACCCCAAGAAGCCUUUUGCCGCCAUUGUUGGAGGUUCAAAGGUUUCAACGAAGAUUGGUGUCAUUGAGUCGCUCUUGUCCACCGUUGACAUUCUCCUGCUCGGUGGAGGUAUGAUUUAUACUUUCUACAAGGCGCAAGGACACGCGGUCGGAUCUUCCCUUUUGGAAGAGGACAAGCUUGACUUGGCCAGGUCACUCAUGGAGAAGGCCAAAUCCAAAGGUGUCUCUCUUUUGCUCCCAACCGAUGUGGUUAUUGCUGACAAGUUCGCUCCUGAUGCUAACAGCAAGGUAACAACAGUUUGUGUCUGAACAAAAAAAAAACAUGUGUGUUUGAUCUUAGUCUGUUAAAAAAGCUGAGACACUUGUGAACUCUUUGCAGAUAGUGCCGGCCACGGCAAUCCCAGAUGGCUGGAUGGGACUCGAUAUUGGUCCAGACUCAAUCAAGACAUUCAGCGAAGCUCUGGACACAACCAAGACCAUCAUCUGGAAUGGUCCCAUGGGUGUUUUUGAAUUUGAAAAGUUUGCAGCUGGAACUGAGGUACGAGCAACUAAUACUGUUACUUUAAAUUCAUCGUAUAUAAGCAUUUAUCGCCACAUAUCACAUUACCACCAACACUUAUCACCCAAAUCACAUAAACAUAAGUUUCAUCAAACGUCGUGUAACUUCAACAUGUUUGUUAAUUGAAGAAACUACCCCAACUUAACUACACGUGAUCUAUUGUCUUGUUUAAUCACCAGGCCGUAGCAAAGCAGCUGGCGGAGCUGAGCGGAAAGGGAGUGACCACAAUCAUAGGAGGAGGUGACUCUGUAGCUGCCGUUGAAAAGGUUGGUUUGGCGGACAAGAUGAGUCACAUCUCUACAGGAGGCGGUGCAAGUUUGGAGCUUCUAGAGGGAAAGCCACUCCCAGGAGUCCUCGCUCUCGACGACGCUUGAGAAUCUUUAAGUUCCUGCCCAUCUCUCUUGUGUUAUUUAUUAUACAAUCGUGUACCAAGUCGUCUGGUUUUCUUGUAGUCUGAUUUUUGUUGCUUUAGCUGCUCGUUGAUUGUUGUUUGUUAUAUGAUUGUCUAUCACACUGUUGGCUGUCUGAAUCUCUGGAUUCGUUUCAAAAUGAUUGAAUCUCCCUGAUGAGAGAAAAAUUCAUCAAUUUGUUUGUUCAUAACAGAAAAAGAAAUCACCUGGUUAUGAAUGUUUGUUCCCCUCUUUUGAUUCUCCAUUCUGUAUUAGAUAUUGCUUGGAUCCCAAGCUUGGACCAUGAACCAGAUUGAACAAUUGAUAAAUGAUGUUGAUGAGAUUAUAUGGUCCGCUGUCGGUUUUGAAAAGUUUUAUUAAGCUGACAUAACGAUGUGGAAAAGCUUUUCUGAAACCCCGGCCCAGAUCUUUCUGACGUGGCAUCACCCGCUUUUGGCAACACAGCUAGUAUAAGGGGAUCAGAUAUUUAGGUUUUUGAAGGAAACAUAGGAGAUUUUCCCGGAAAAAGAGAUGAAGAAGAAAACAAACUUUUACAAUUUUCUGAUUAUUUUUUUCUAACCGACUUCUAUAUACUAUUGAUGACGUGGUCUGUUGACGUGUCCCUUUUCCUAUAUCAUCGUCUCUCUUUGCAUCUACUCAUGCGAGUGUAAUCUCUAGCUUGUGCUCUUAGAAUCUCAUCUAAUCGCUUUCGACUGAGACUCGCGUCAAUCUCUUACCCGGCGGUGUGCGUUUUGCAGUAUUAUAUACUAUGGCUAGGGAUGUUUAUUAUAAACCCAGCCUAUAUUAACCCAGCCCUAUUUUAACCCUAUUAUAAUCAAAGGGUUAGGGCUGGUACCAGGGUUAACUCAUUUAAUUGAAAAAAAUAUUUCAUUUAUUUUUGUUCUUAAAUUUUAAAGAUAAAACAGAAAAAUUAAGAUAUGAUAUGAUUCUUUCCGCCAAUUUGUUGAGCAUCAAAUCAAAAGUUUUCCUCCCAAAAUCGCAAAAUCGAGUUUUUGCUCCACAACUAAGAAUAAAGUUUUUCCGUCAAAAAACAAAAAUUGUGUUUUUUCCGCCAAAACCUAAUUUGAGUUUUUCCACCAAAACCACAAAAUCAAGUUUUCCCGCCAAAACCGCAAAAUCAUCCUACAUUCUAUUAUCCGCAGAUAUCCGGAUCCGGAUCCGUAAAAUAAUUAAAAAUAAUAAUUUUUUUUAGAAAAGAUACUAAUUUUUAAUAUAAUACAUAAAUUUGAUAUUUAUAUAUGUCUAUAAUAUUGUAAAAACUAAAAUACAAUAUUAUAAGAUUAAUUCAUGUAUAAAUAUUAAUAUAUCAAAUAUAAAUAUUAAUGAAAUUUAAAAAUUUAAUGUGUUUUAAAAAUACGGAUCCGGAUACCCGGACCUAAAAAUUAAGAUAUCCGGAUUCAGAUUCGGUUUAGACGGAUCCAAGAUUUUACUAUCCAUAUUCGGAUCCGGACACCCCGGAUAUCCUAUUUUCGGAGCGGAUCUCAGAUCGAAUCCGGAUUUCGGACAAUAACUUUUGGUACAAAAUACAAAAAUUAAAUAAAAAAUAAAAUCAGUAUCAAAAUAUUAAUGCUUUUAUCAUUAAGAACUUGAUGUAGGUUCUUUGCCACUGGAGGUGCUCUAAAGUUCUGUUGGAACAGUGUAAUCAGUUAUGUUAUGUCUGAGCAGUGCGUGCUACGUGCAUUAAGUUUCCUUUUUAGUAACUGUUUGAUGUCUCUGAUCUCAGUUUUAUGUUUCAGGGUCGCCGUGUUACCCCUAAGUUUAGCUUAAAGAUUCUUGUGCCGAGAUUGUCUGAGCUUCUUGGUGUUGAGGUUUGUGCUCUUUGUUCCUCUAUGCGUUCAAGUUUCAUGAACAACAGCUGUGAGUUACAUUUGCUGGGUUAAUAGGUUGUGAUGGCAAAUAACUCUAUUGGUGAGGAAGUCCAGAAACUAGUUGCAGCACUACCUGAAGGAGGUGUUCUUCUCUUGGAGAACGUGAGGUUCUACAAGGAAGAAGAAAAGAAUGACCCUGAAUUCGCAAAGAAGCUUGCUGCCCUUGCUGAUCUCUAUGUCAACGAUGCUUUCGGAACUGCUGUAACGGAUCUAGGGUUCUUCUCUGCAGUCACUUGGUAUGUCUUCUCGUUUAUUAUCUCGUUCGUUUGGUUUUAUUACACAGCUUUUUCAAACAUAUGGUAGUUUAUACCUUGUGUGAAUCAUUUGUUUUAAGUAGUGUGUUGCUCUCUUUGGAACAUUGAUAUUCAGUUUAUCUGUUUUCUCACCUCUUUGUACAAACUUAUAUGUUUUUUAUCUGAUCUAUUUUAUUAGCUCGUUUGGUUUUAUUACAGAGCUUUUGUUAGUAGAUCGGUCUGUAUAUGUGUCUUCGCUGUAUUACAUGAUAGUUUGUGCCUUGUGUGAAUCAUUUUUUUUUUUUAAAUAGAGUCGCUCUCUUUGCAAUGGAUGAUGCUGGCUGCAUUUGCAUGCAGGGCCGGGCCUGAAGCUAAUCGAGCAUUAGCUUCAGUGCCGAUAGUGUUAAAAAGAAUUUAUGGACCAAUUACAUUAAAUGUCUGAUAGUUCUGUUGGCAAAAUUUGGUUGUUCCAUCGGCAAGAUGCAAAUGAGUUCUAAUCUGAUUAAAAAUAUUAAAAAAUCAAAAAACAAUAAAAAGAGUCAAAAGAAUAUCCAGCAUGUCAACUUCAUAAAACUACUUUUAAAAACUCUGGGUACUGGGACGGAUCCGGAUAUCCGGAAAAUGCAGGGUAUAAGUCUGGGACGAAUCCGGAUAUCCGGAAAAUUCAGGGAAUCCUGAUCCGUAAAAAUAAUUAAAAAUAAUAUUUGUUUUUACAAAAAUACUAAUUUUUAUAAUAUAAUACAUAAAUUAAAUAUUUAUAAAUAUAUGUAUAUAUGUCUAUAAUAUUGUAAAAACUAAAAUAUAAUAUUAUAAGAUUAAUUCAUGUAUAAAUAUUAAUAUAUCAAAUAUAAAUAUUAAUGAAAUUUAAAAAUUUAAUGUGUUUUAAAAAUACGGAUCCGGAUCCGGAUAUCCGGACCUAAAAAUUAAGAUAUCCGACGUGUCUUCCUCUUGUAUAUUUUAUAUCCUCAGCCACUUCAUCUCUGUCUAAGCUUGGAUCGUCUCUCUUUACAUCCACUCAUGUGAGUAUAUUCCCUAGUUUAUGCCUUCAGAUUCUCAUCGAAUCGAGUGCGAUUAAGUUCUAGAUCUGUUUGAUUUCUCCGUCAAUCUCAUAUUCCCCGGUUGUUGUUGUUGUUUUACAGUGUUUUCUUUUUUACUCAUCUACUAUGGCGACGAAGAGAAGCGUUGGAACACUGAAGGAAGCGGAUCUGAAGGGGAAAGAGCGUGUUCGUGAGGGUUGAUCUCAACGUUCCUUUGGAUGAUAACUCUAACAUCACCGAUGACACUAGGAUUCGUGCCGCUGUUCCCACCAUCAAGUACUUGAUGGGUAACGGAUCUAGGGUUGUUCUCUGCAGUCACUUGGUAUGUUGGUAUGUCCUCUCGUUUUUUUUUUAUCUCAUCUGGUUUAUUAGCUCCUUUGAUUUUAUUACUGAACUUCGUUAUCUGGUCGGGUGCCUUGUCUGAAUCAUUUGUAUAAGUUUGGUCGCUCUCCUUGAAACAUUGAUAAUCAGUUAUGCACAUGUCUUUGCUGUCUUAUAUGAUAAGUUAUGUCUUGUCUGAACCGUUUAUAUAAGUUCGGUCGCUCUUCUUGCAAUUGAGUUCGUGUUCGUUAUUUGGUCGGCUAGACGGCUACAUAUGCAGAUGACUUCACUUUCUUACAUGAUAGUUUAUGCCUUUUGUGAACCAUUUGUAUGAGUUUGGUCGCUCAUAGAACAUUGAUAAUCAGUUUCAGCUACCAAACUCAUGAAAAUGGAAUUAUUGAACAUUUUGUUUUCAAUUUUUUUGUAGUAACUAUUGGAUGUUUCUGAUCUCAAUUAUAUGUUUCAGGGCCGCCCAAAAGGUGUUACCCCUAAAUUCAGCUUGAAACCUCUUGUGCCGAGAUUGUCUGAGCUUCUUGGUGUUGAGGUUGUGAUGGCAAAUGACUCUAUUGGUGAGGAAGUCCAGAAACUAGUUGCAGCACUACCUGAAGGAGGUGUUCUUCUCUUGGAGAACGUGAGGUUCUACAAGGAAGAAGAGAAGAACGACCCUGAAUUCGCAAAGAAGCUUGCUGCCCUUGCUGAUCUCUAUGUCAACGAUGCUUUCGGAACUGCUCAUAGAGCUCAUGCUUCCACCGAGGGAGUUGCCAAAUACUUGAAGCCUUCUGUCGCCGGUUUCCUCAUGCAGAAGGAGCUUGAUUACCUUGUCGGAGCUGUAGCAAACCCCAAGAAGCCUUUUGCCGCCAUUGUUGGAGGUUCAAAGGUUUCAACGAAGAUUGGUGUCAUUGAGUCGCUCUUGUCCACCGUUGACAUUCUCCUGCUCGGUGGAGGUAUGAUUUAUACUUUCUACAA
rnacentral:lncRNA from 1 species